UGAGGCAGGAGAAUUGCUUGAACCCAGGAAGUGGAGGUUGCAGUGAGCCAAGAUUGUGCCACUGCACUCCAGCCUGGGUGACAGAGCAAGACUCCAUCUC
rnacentral:miRNA from 1 species